rnacentral:rRNA from 1 species
GAGGAAUAUUGGUCAAUGGGCGAGAGCCUGAACCAGCCAAGUAGCGUGCAGGAUGACGGCCCUAUGGGUUGUAAACUGCUUUUGUAUGGGGAUAAAGUCAGUCACGUGUGAUUGUUUGCAGGUACCAUACGAAUAAGGACCGGCUAAUUCCGUGCCAGCAGCCGCGGUAAUACGGAAGGUCCGGGCGUUAUCCGGAUUUAUUGGGUUUAAAGGGAGCGUAGGCUGGAGAUUAAGUGUGUUGUGAAAUGUAGACGCUCAACGUCUGACUUGCAGCGCAUACUGGUUUCCUUGAGUACGCACAACGUUGGCGGAAUUCGUCGUGUGGCGGUGAAAUGCUUAGAUAUGACGAAGAACUCCGAUUGCGAAGGCAGCUGACGGGAGCGCAACUGACGCUGAAGCUCGAAGGUGCGGGUAUCGAACAGGAUUAGAUACCCUGGUAGUCCGCACAGUAAACGAUGGAUGCCCGCUGUUGGUACCUGGUAUCAGCGGCUAAGCGAAAGCAUUAAGCAUCCCACCUGGGGAGUACGCCGGCAACGGUG